UAUGUUUUCUUAAUACAUUUAUUGUGUGA
rnacentral:piRNA from 1 species